UACGGGGGGGGCGAGCGUUGUUCGGAAUCACUGGGCGUAAAGGGCGCGUAGGCGGCCCGCUAAGUCGAACGUGAAAUCCCCAGGCUCAACCUGGGAACUGCGUCCGAUACUGGCAGGCUUGAAUCCGGGAGAGGGAUGUGGAAUUCCAGGUGUAGCGGUGAAAUGCGUAGAUAUCUGGAGGAACACCGGUGGCGAAGGCGGCAUCCUGGACCGGUAUUGACGCUGAGGCGCGAAAGCUAGGGGAGCAAACGGG
rnacentral:rRNA from 1 species